rnacentral:rRNA from 1 species
UACGUAGGGCGCAAGCGUUGUCCGGAAUUAUUGGGCGUAAAGAGCUCGUAGGCGGUCUGUUACGUCCGCUGUGAAAACCCAGGGCUUAACCCUGGGCUUGCAGUGGAUACUGGUAGACUAGAGGCAGGUAGGGGAGAAUGGAAUUCCCGGUGUAGCGGUGAAAUGCGCAGAUAUCGGGAGGAACACCGGUGGCGAAGGCGGUUCUCUGGGCCUGACCUGACGCUGAGGAGCGAAAGCGUGGGGAGCGAACAGG